GUGGGUGUGCCGUAGUGGUCAAUCGGGAUGGACUCAAAAUCCAUUAGCUUAGUGCUUACGCAGGUUCGAGUCCUGCCACCCACA
rnacentral:tRNA from 1 species